GAUGUAGAACGUAGCGAAAUGCGAUAAGUAAUGUGAAUUGCAGAAUUCAGUGAAUCAUCGAAUCUUUGAACGCACAUUGCGCCCCCCAGUAUUCUGGCGGGCAUGCCUGUUCGAGCGUCAUUUCAACCAUCAAGCCCUGCUUGUGUUGGGGUCCUGCGGCUGCCCGCAGGCCCUGAAAACCAGUGGCGGGCUCGCUAGUCACACCGAGCGCAGUAGCACAUCUCGCUCAGGGCGUGCGGCGGGCUCCAGCCGUUAAAGCACCCACCUUUCGCAAGGUUGACCUCGGAUCAGGUAGGAAUACCCGCUGAACUUAAGCAUAUCAAUAAGCGGAGGA
rnacentral:misc_RNA from 1 species